CACAACAGGAAAUUCCCCCAAAGAGAAAAAAUCAUAACCCGUGACUGUGCCUCAGCCUAGACAACUUUCAUACUUAGCCUCGGCCUUCUCCACGGACUAUAAAUGGCGUCUCACAGCAGUGGCCUCUGCUCUCCGUGUCAGAAUCUGUGGCUGUUUCUACCUAAUUCAACACAGAACAUCUCACUUUAGACCUGAGGCAUGGAAUCUGCCAUGGGAGUCUCAGAACUCUUGAAUUUCUAACAGCCAGAUCAGUGUUGCUGGUUUCGACAGCUGGAAGAAAGGAAGGGUCGAAUGGAGGAAGAAAUCUAGAAAGACAACCUGAGAACUUCUUGCUCGGGGUCAUGAAGCUUCUGCCUCCUGUGGUCUAAGUGGUCAUGGUCCCAUUGAAUCGUAUGUAUUUUACUGGACAUGUAGAUUACUGAUACUUCAAACAAAAGACCUGAAUAUAACCUAAUAGGUUUAAAAUAAUAUGUCAGGACACAGAGAA